GCUGGGAUAGCUCAUUCAGUACAGCAUGAGACUCUUAAUUUCAGGGUUGUGGGUUCACGCCCCACAUUAGGCA